rnacentral:rRNA from 1 species
AACGCUGGCGGCGCGCUUAAUACAUGCAAGUCGAGCGAGAACCUGGGCUUCGGCCCUGGGGACAGCGGCGAACGGGUGAGUAACACGUGGGUAAUCAACCCUCGACACUGGGAUAGCCCGGGGAAACCCGGAUUAAUACCGGAUACCCCAUCUGGCCUUCGGGCCGGCUGGAAAAGGUAGCUUCGGCCUCCGGUCGGGGACGAGCCCGCGGCGGAUUAGCUUGUUGGUGGGGUAAUGGCCCACCAAGGCGACGAUCCGUAGCUGGUCUGAGAGGACGAUCAGCCACACUGGGACUGAGACACGGCCCAGACUCCUACGGGAGGCAGCAGUAGAGAAUCUUGCGCAAUGGGCGAAAGCCUGACGCAGCGACGCCGCGUGAGGGAAGAAGGCCUUCGGGUUGUAAACCUCUUUCAGGAGGGACGAAGCCACUCGGGUUAACAGCCCAGAGGGUGACGGUACCUCCAGAAGAAGCCCCGGCUAACUACGUGCCAGCCGCCGCGGUAAAAC